rnacentral:rRNA from 1 species
GUGAGUAACCUGCCCUUAACUCUGGGAUAAGCCUGGGAAACUGGGUCUAAUACCGGAUAUGACUCCUCAUCGCAUGGUGGGGGGUGGAAAGCUUUAUUGUGGUUUUGGAUGGACUCGCGGCCUAUCAGCUUGUUGGUGAGGUAAUGGCUCACCAAGGCGACGACGGGUAGCCGGCCUGAGAGGGUGACCGGCCACACUGGGACUGAGACACGGCCCAGACUCCUACGGGAGGCAGCAGUGGGGAAUAUUGCACAAUGGGCGAAAGCCUGAUGCAGCGACGCCGCGUGAGGGAUGACGGCCUUCGGGUUGUAAACCUCUUUCAGUAGGGAAGAAGCGAAAGUGACGGUACCUGCAGAAGAAGCGCCGGCUAACUACGUGCCAGCAGCCGCGGUAAUACGUAGGGCGCAAGCGUUAUCCGGAAUUAUUGGGCGUAAAGAGCUCGUAGGCGGUUUGUCGCGUCUGCCGUGAAAGUCCGGGGCUCAACUCCGGAUCUGCGGUGGGUACGGGCAGACUAGAGUGAUGUAGGGGAGACUGGAAUUCCUGGUGUAGCGGUGAAAUGCGCAGAUAUCAGGAGGAACACCGAUGGCGAAGGCAGGUCUCUGGGCAUUAACUGACGCUGAGGAGCGAAAGCAUGGGGAGCGAACAGGAUUAGAUACCCUGGUAGUCCAUGCCGUAAACGUUGGGCACUAGGUGUGGGGGACAUUCCACGUUUUCCGCGCCGUAGCUAACGCAUUAAGUGCCCCGCCUGGGGAGUACGGCCGCAAGGCUAAAACUCAAAGGAAUUGACGGGGGCCCGCACAAGCGGCGGAGCAUGCGGAUUAAUUCGAUGCAACGCGAAGAACCUUACCAAGGCUUGACAUGAACCGGAAAUACCUGGAAACAGGUGCCCCGCUUGCGGUCGGUUUACAGGUGGUGCAUGGUUGUCGUCAGCUCGUGUCGUGAGAUGUUGGGUUAAGUCCCGCAACGAGCGCAACCCUCGUUCUAUGUUGCCAGCGCGUUAUGGCGGGGACUCAUAGGAGACUGCCGGGGUCAACUCGGAGGAAGGUGGGGACGACGUCAAAUCAUCAUGCCCCUUAUGUCUUGGGCUUCACGCAUGCUACAAUGGCCGGUACAAAGGGUUGCGAUACUGUGAGGUGGAGCUAAUCCCAAAAAGCCGGUCUCAGUUCGGAUUGGGGUCUGCAACUCGACCCCAUGAAGUCGGAGUCGCUAGUAAUCGCAGAUCAGCAACGCUGCGGUGAAUACGUUCCCGGGCCUUGUACACACCGCCCGUCAAGUCACGAAAGUUGGUAACACCCGAAGCCGGUGGCC